rnacentral:rRNA from 1 species
AUUGAACGCUGGCGGCAUGCCUUACACAUGCAAGUCGAACGGUAACAGGUCUUCGGAUGCUGACGAGUGGCGAACGGGUGAGUAAUACAUCGGAACGUGCCUAGUAGUGGGGGAUAACUACUCGAAAGAGUGGCUAACACCGCAUGAGAUCUACGGAUGAAAGCAGGGGAUCGCAAGACCUUGUGCCACUAGAGCGGCCGAUGGCAGAUUAGGUAGUUGGUGGGAUAAAAGCUUACCAAGCCGACGAUCUGUAGCUGGUCUGAGAGGACGAUCAGCCACACUGGGACUGAGACACGGCCCAGACUCCUACGGGAGGCAGCAGUGGGGAAUUUUGGACAAUGGGCGCAAGCCUGAUCCAGCAAUGCCGCGUGCAGGAUGAAGGCCUUCGGGUUGUAAACUGCUUUUGUACGGAACGAAAAGCCCUGGGUUAAUACCCUGGGGUCAUGACGGUACCGUAAGAAUAAGCACCGGCUAACUACGUGCCAGCCGCCGCCGUAAAAC